UGCAAGUCGAGGGGUAACAUAGAAAAGCUUGCUUUUUUGAUGACGACCGGCGCACGGGUGCGUAACGCGUAUACAAUCUGCCUUAUACUGGGGUAUAGCCUUUAGAAAUGAAGAUUAAUCCCCCAUAGUCUCUAGCUAUGGCAUCAUAGCUAGAGUAAAGGUUACGGUAUAAGAUGAGUAUGCGUUCUAUUAGUUUGUUGGUGAGGUAACGGCUCACCAAGACUACGAUAGAUAGGGGCCCUGAGAGGGGGAUCCCCCACACUGGUACUGAGACACGGACCAGACUCCUACGGGAGGCAGCAGUGAGGAAUAUUGGACAAUGGAGGCAACUCUGAUCCAGCCAUGCCGCGUGCAGGAAGACUGCCCUAUGGGUUGUAAACUGCUUUUAUAUAGGAAGAAACCUUGGUACGUGUACCAAGCUGACGGUACUAUAAGAAUAAGGAUUGGCUAACUCCGUGCCAGCAGCCGCGGUAAUACGGAGGAUCCAAGCGUUAUCCGGAAUCAUUGGGUUUAAAGGGUCCGUAGGUGGAUAAUUAAGUCAGAGGUGAAAUCUUGCAGCUCAACUGUAAAAUUGCCUUUGAUACUGGUUAUCUUGAGUUAUUAUGAAGUAGUUAGAAUAUGUAGUGUAGCGGUGAAAUGCAUAGAUAUUACAUAGAAUACCAAUUGCGAAGGCAGAUUACUAAUAAUCAACUGACACUGAUGGACGAAAGCGUGGGUAGCGAACAGGAUUAGAUACCCUGGUAGUCCACGCCGUAAACGAUGGUUACUAGCUGUUUGGACCUUGUGUCUGAGUGG
rnacentral:rRNA from 1 species